GUGCACCAGGCGAGAAAACUUCACACUGUGCGAAAGCACGAUGAGGGAAUCCCAAGUGCUUGCACGUAAGUGUAAGCUGUUUCUCUGUCUAAAACGCAGAGAGAGUAAGGGCUGGGUAAGACGGGUGCCAGCCGCCGCGGUAAUAUCUGCAGCUCAAGUGGUGACCGUUAUUAUUGGGCCUAAAACGUCCGUAGCCGGUUUAAUAAAUGCCUGGGUAAAUUGUGUAGCUUAACUAUACGAAUUCCGGGUAGACUGUUAAACUUGAGACCGGGAGAAGUUAGAGGUACUCCUGGGGUAGAGGUGAAAAUUCUGUAAUCCUAGGGGGACCACCAGUGGCGAAGGCGUCUAACUAGAACGGGUCUGACGGUGAGGGACGAAGCCCUGGGGCGCAAACGGGAUUAGAUA
rnacentral:rRNA from 1 species